rnacentral:rRNA from 1 species
CGGCAACAGCUCAAAUUUGAAAUCUGGCCCUCUCAGGGUCCGAGUUGUAAUUUGGAGAGGAUGCUUCGGGUGUGGCCCCGGUCUAAGUUCCUUGGAACAGGACGUCACAGAGGGUGAGAAUCCCGUCUAGAACCGAUAGCCACGUUCAUGUGAAACUCCUUCGAC